ACGCAGUCGAACUUCUCAAUGGGAUCUGGCUCUAUGGGCAGCCGAUCAAGUUACAGCGGAAAACCGGUGGGUGACUUCUAAACCGGGGGCUGACUCUGAGGGGGACACGUUAUCUUGAACGUCCACACUGACAGAACACUUGUGCUGUGCUAUCUUUAGAUGGACAUUAUCAUAGAAAUGAGGCGUUUGCAUACCACACGGGGAGCGGACUGAUAGCAGACAGGUGUACAGCAGACGUCUGCAGGUGUGUCCUCCAGCUGUGUGGUUCUGUCCUCCUCCUCAGCUGUGGCUGGGCUCUGGUCACUCGUCUGGGACGUCUCUCCACAGGUCAGCCAGCAGCGCAGGGGGAUGUGCAAAUAGACCGCUGUACGGAGGGUGCUGUCCGAGCAUCCUGACAGCGUCUGUUCCUGCGAGCACUGCUUCAGACUGCCAGCUGUAAACCAUAUCUGUUCAUGCUCUAAUAAAGCCUUCGACUGUCUCUGCAAGUACUGAAGCACAUGAGCUCAAAUGUUUAUUAGCGACUUCAUCUUGCGCUCGCAUCUCAAGUGAUUAGAACCUCAAUAACUUAACGACUGAUUGAUGCAUUUAUCAUCUCCAGUGACAUGUUUAUAGUGGGUUAAGAGCUUAAUGUCACAUUUAUGUUGGAUGAUCAUUUCUAACAUCAAGCGUUCACUCUUAUUCUCUGGAACAGCCCUCAGCCAAAGCCUCUCCCUCUCUUGAAUAUUUACUAGUACGAUAAGAUGCAAUAACUAUUAACCUCAGACUUUAGACUUAAUAAAAGAAAUUCACCAAGUACAAGAGUAUUCAGUUAGUGCUGGUGUAUAAAAACAUGAUUUAUUUCAAAUAAAUGCUGAACUUUCUAUUCAUCUAUUUCUGCAAAAAUAUCGUGCAGCAUGACUGUUUUCAACAUUGAUAAUAAUCAGAAAUGUUUCUAAUAAUCAUAUUAGAAUGAUUUCUGAAGAUCAUGUGACACUGAAAACUGGAGUAAUGAUGCUGAAAAUACAGCUGCACAUCACAGAAAUAAAUUAUAUUUUAAUAGACACUCACAUAGAAAACAGCUGUUUUAAAUUCUAAUAAUAUUUCACAAUUUUUACUGUAUUUUUAAACAAACGAAUGCAGCCUUGAUGAGCAGAAGAGGCUUUUUUCAGAAACAUUAAAUCAUAUUACAGACCCACACUUUUAAAGCAGGGAGCAUAUUAUUAUUAUUAUUAUUAUUUAAAUAAAACGAUUAUAAUAUUAUUAAUAAAAAAUAGUGUUUCUCCCACUGGAGAUUGUGAUGUUUAUGUAUCUGUGAAAGGUUAUGAUGGGAGAACGGGUUAGUUUUCACAGCACAUGGUGAUUCUGGAGUGCAUUUGGAUCUCUAGAAGAAGGAUUUGACCGUUUUCAGAAAUGAUAUUUACAGCCCAAGCGCUUGAACGUUGUAUUUUUUGCUUCCUCUUGUGUUACUCCCUAAUGCUUUCUGGAAAUGCUGAUAAAAUGGUACUUGGUUCUAAUCAAUAGUAUUAAUUGCCGUUCAAUAAAAGUUUAUUGCAAGGCUGUAUAACAAGGACAAGAGCAGGUUAGAAGCUGUGAGAGUCUCAGUAA
ensembl:lncRNA